rnacentral:tRNA from 1 species
GUGGUGUAGUAUGGUUUGGGUAAACCAAUGAAAAUGGUGCAAAGAGAGUUCGAAUCUCUCCGGGUGCACCA